rnacentral:rRNA from 1 species
CAGCAGCCGCGGGAAUACGUAGGGUGCAAGCGUUAAUCGGAAUUACUGGGCGUAAAGCGUACGCAGGCGGUUAUAUAAGUCAGAUGUGAAAUCCCCGGGCUCAACCUGGGAACUGCAUUUGAGACUGUAUGGCUAGAGUGUGUCAGAGGGGGGUAGAAUUCCACGUGUAGCAGUGAAAUGCGUAGAUAUGUGGAGGAAUACCGAUGGCGAAGGCAGCCCCCUGGGAUAACACUGACGCUCAUGCGCGAAAGCGUGGGGAGCAAACAGGAUUAGAUACCCGUGUAGUCCCUGUCUCUUAUAC